rnacentral:rRNA from 1 species
UACGUAGGGGGCAAGCGUUGUCCGGAUUUACUGGGCGUAAAGCGCGCGUAGGCGGAAGGUUAAGCGUGGCCUGAAAGCCCCCGGCUCAACCGGGGAGGGCGGCUGCGAACUGGCCUUCUUGAGGGCGAUAGAGGAGCGCGGAAUUCCUGGUGUAGCGGUGAAAUGCGUAGAGAUCAGGAGGAACACCCGUGGCGAAGGCGGCGCUCUGGGUCGGCCCUGACGCUGAGGUGCGAAAGCGUGGGGAGCGAUCCGG